UGUUGCCUGCAAGGGCGUAUGGUGGAUGCCUUGGCAGACAGGACCGAUGAAGGACGUUUGAGGCUGCGAUAUGCCUCGGGGAGCCGCCAACAGGGCUUUGAUCCGAGGAUUUCCGAAUGGGGGAACCCACCGGCCGUCAUGGGCCGGUACCGCCGUGUGCGGGGGGUACGCAGGGAAGUGAAACAUCUCAGUACCUGCAGGAAAGGAUAUUCCGUGAGUAGUGGCGAGCGAAAGCGGAUCAGGCCAAACCUUGCGCGUGUGAUACCCGUCGGGGGUUGCGCGCGGGGUGUAGAGGGAUCGCGUUUGCCGGCUCCGACGGGCCGGCCGUCAGUUGCAUAAAACCAUGUGCCAGGGGAACCGGGUUGAAUACCGGGCCGCAGAGGGUGAGGGCCCCGUACCCGAACGCGCAUGGUCUGGCGAUCGCGUCUCCCAAGUAGCACGGGCCCCGUGGAAUCCCGUGCGAAUCUGUCCCGACCGUGGGAUAAGCCUAAAUAUUCCUGUCUGACCGAUAGCGAACGAGUACCGUGAGGGAAAGGUGAAAAGUACCCCGGGAGGGGAGUGAAACAGUCUCUGAAACCAUGCGCCUACGAACCGUCGGGGCCCUCUUGUGGGGUGACGGCGUGCCUAUCGAAAAAUGAGUCUGCGAGUCAGUGGCAUGUGGCGAGCAUAACCCGUGUGGGGUAUGCGUAGCGAAGGCGAGUCUUAAAAGGCGUUUAAAGUCGCGUGUCCUGGACCCGAAGCGGGAUGAUCUAGCCCUGAGCAGGUUGAAGCGCGGGUAAGACCGUGUGGAGGACCGAACCCACCUGGGUUGAAAACCGGGGGGAUGACUUGGGGCUAGGGGUGAAAGGCCAAUCAAAUUCCGUGAUAGCUGGUUCUCUCCGAAAUGCAUUUAGGUGCAGCGUCGGAUCGAUUACAUCCGGGGGGUAGAGCGACUGGAUGCUUGCGGGCCCAUAUCGGGUACCAACAGCAACCAAACUCCGAAUACCCGUGAUGCGUAUCCCGGCAGUGAGUCGGCGGGGGAUAAGCUCCGUCGUCGAAAGGGAAACAGCCCAGAUCGUCGUCUAAGGUCCCCAAGCGUGUGCUAAGUGGGAAAGGAUGUGGAGUCGCAUAGACAGCCAGGAGGUUGGCUCAGAAGCAGCCACCCUUGAAAGAGUGCGUAACAGCUCACUGGUCUAGUGGUUCCGCGCCGACAAUGUAGCGGGGCUCAAGCACACCACCGAAGACGCGGCAGUAGCUUUGCUACUGGGUAGGAGAGCGUCCCAUGCGGGGCGAAGCGGCGGCGCAAGCCCGCCGUGGACCGCAUGGGAGUGAGAAUGCAGACAUGAGUAGCGAAAGACGGGUGAAGAUCCCGUCCGCUGGACGACCAAGGGUUCCAGGGCCACGUUCAUCGUCCCUGGGUGAGUCGGGUCCUAAGGCGAGGCCGACAGGCGUAGUCGAAUGGACGAACGGGUCGAUAUUCCCGUACCGGCAUGCAACCGGCAAAACCGAAUCCGCGAGUACUAACCUCCGGGUCCGGGCUUACGUCUCCUUCGGGAGCCGGAUGCCCUGGCCUGUUGGGACCGUAACGGUAGUAGGUCAGCGCGGGAGUGACGCAGAAGGGUAGCCGGCCGCGGAGGUGGUCUUCCGUGGUCAAGCACGCAGCCCGUCCCACAGGCAAAUCCGUGGGGCGCGUGGGCGAGGUGCGAUGAUGGGCGCCGCAGGGCGCGAUAUCCGGUGAUCCCGGCUGCCGAGAAAAGCUUCGGCGUGAGGCGGCAUGCCGCCCGUACCCCAAACCGACACUGGUGGUCAGGUAGAGAAUACCAAAGCGAUCGAGCGAAUCCUGGUCAAGGAACUCGGCAAAUCACUCCCGUUCCUUCGGUUUAAGGGAGACCCCCGAUGGUGAACACACUUGCUGUGGGAGCUUUUGGGGGUGGCACAGACCAGGGGGUAGCGACUGUUUACCAAAAACACAGGAGCGUGCGAAGGCGCAAGCCGCUGUAUACGCUCUGACGCCUGCCCGGUGCCGGAAGGUUAAGAGGAUCCGUCAGGCCUCGGCCGAAGCGGUGAAUUCAAGCCCCGGUAAACGGCGGUGGUAACUAUAACCAUCCUAAGGUAGCGAAAUUCCUUGUCGGGUAAGUUCCGACCUGCACGAAUGGCGUA
rnacentral:rRNA from 1 species